GGGAUAUGUUUAUGUGGAGGAAGUAUUCUGUAUGAGGCGAUAUUUCAACAAUACACUGGUAGUACUGUUGCAAUAUUCUGAAAAGUGUCGUACAGACACUAUGCAGUGCGUAGGGCUGGGUGGGUGUUUUAUACCCCACGUGUUGUGAUGGGAUGGUCGGAGUUGGUGUGUAGAGGAUGGGCGUGGUUUUUAUUAUUAUAAGGUUAUAUUUUU
rnacentral:lncRNA from 1 species